CAAGUCGAACGGGGAAAGCCUUCGGGUGAGUACUAGUGGCGCACGGGUGAGUAACACGUGGGUAAUCUGCCUUCGAGUGGGGGAUAACUAGUCGAAAGAUUAGCUAAUACCGCAUAAGACCACAAGAUCUGAGGAUCAAGAGGUCAAAGGAGCAAUUCGCUCGAAGAUGAGCCCGCGUAGGAUUAGCUAGUUGGUGAGGUAAUGGCUCACCAAGGCUGUGAUCCUUAGCUGGUCUGAGAGGAUGAUCAGCCACACUGGAACUGAGACACGGUCCAGACUCCUACGGGAGGCAGCAGUAGGGAAUAUUGCGCAAUGGGGGAAACCCUGACGCAGCGACGCCGCGUGAGUGAUGAAGGCCUUCGGGUCGUAAAGCUCUGUUGCAAGGGAAUAACAAAAUGAAUGUACCUUGUGAGGAAGGAUCGGCUAACUUCGUGCCAGCAGCCGCGGUAAGACGAGGGAUCCUAGCGUUGCUCGGAAUCAUUGGGCGUAAAGCGGGUGUAGGUGGCUUUGUAAGUCGGGUGUGAAAGCCCAGGGCUCAACCCUGGAAGUGCAUUCGAUACUGCGAAGCUUGAGUGUUGGAGAGGUCAUCGGAAUACCUGGUGUAGUGGUGAAAUACGUAGAUAUCAGGUGGAACACCGGAGGCGAAGGCGGGUGACUGGCCAAACACUGACACUGAGACCCGAAAGCGUGGGGAUCAAACAGGAUUAGAUACCCUGGUAGUCCACGCCGUAAACGAUGGAUACUUGCUGUUGGAGGUAUUGACCCCUUCAGUGGCGCAGCUAACGCGUUAAGUAUCCCGCCUGGGGAGUACGGUCGCAAGAUUAAAACUCAAAGAAAUUGACGGG
rnacentral:rRNA from 1 species